CAGCAAGGUUAAGUCAGAAAAGACGGAGCCGUAGCGAAAGCGAGUCUGAAGAGGGCGAGCAGUUGGCUGACGCAGACCCGAAACCAAGUGACCUACCCAUGACCAGGUUGAAGGCGCGGUAAAACGCGCUGGAGGACCGAACCCACGUAAGUUGAAAAUUGCGGGGAUGAGUUGUGGGUAGCGGUGAAAUUCCAAACGAACUUGGAGAUAGCUGGUUCUCUCCGAAAUAGCUUUAGGGCUAGCCUCGCAAAGAGGAUGCUGGAGGUAGAG
rnacentral:rRNA from 1 species